UACGUAGGGUCCGAGCGUUGUCCGGAAUUAUUGGGCGUAAAGAGCGUGUAGGCGGCUAGAUAGGUCCGUUGUGAAAACUCGAGGCUCAACCUCGAGACGUCGAUGGAAACCAUCUGGCUAGAGUCCGGAAGAGGAGAGUGGAAUUCCUGGUGUAGCGGUGAAAUGCGCAGAUAUCAGGAAGAACACCCGUGGCGAAGGCGGCUCUCUGGUACGUGACUGACGCUGAGACGCGAAAGCGUGGGGAGCAAACAGG
rnacentral:rRNA from 1 species